GUGCGAGGUUUUCAAGGGCGUACGGUGGAUGCCUUGGCAUCGGGAGCCGAUGAAGGACGUGGGAAUCUGCGAUAAGCCUGGGGGAGUCGAUAACCGGACGGUGAUCCCAGGGUGUCCGAAUGGGGAAACCCCGCCGCAUGUCAUGUGCGGUGACCUGCCGCUGAACGCAUAGGCGGUGUGGGGGGAACGCGGGGAAGUGAAACAUCUCAGUACCCGCAGGAAGAGAAAACAACAGUGAUUCCGUCAGUAGUGGCGAGCGAACGCGGACGAGGGCCAAACUGUGCGCGUGCGAUACCCGGCAGGGGUUGCGCGCAUGGGGUUGUGGGGUCCUGCUUGGUGCGUCUGCCGGCGUGCCGGGGCGUGGUGGGGUAUAGGCGAACGGUCUUGAACGGCCGGCCGGAGUGGGUGUGAGUCCCGUAGCCGUGAAUGCCCUGCUUUUCGUCCUUGCGGGUGUCCCCGAGUAGCACGGGGCCCGAGGAAUCCCGUGUGAAUCUGUCAGGACCACCUGAUAAGCCUGAAUACUACCCGAUGACCGAUAGCGGACCAGUACCGUGAGGGAAAGGUGAAAAGUACCCCGGGAGGGGAGUGAAAGAGUACCUGAAACCGUGCGCCUACAAUCCGUCAGAGCCGGCUUGUUCCGGUGAUGGCGUGCCUUUUGAAGAAUGAGCCUGCGAGUUAGUGCCGUGUCGCGAGGUUAACCCGUGUGGGGGAGCCGCAGCGAAAGCGAGUCUGAACAGGGCGUUCAGUGGCGCGGUCUAGACCCGAAGCGGGGUGAUCUACCCAUGGCCAGGUUGAAGCGACGGUAAGACGUCGUGGAGGACCGAACCCACUUCAGUUGAAAAUGGAGGGGAUGAGCUGUGGGUAGGGGUGAAAGGCCAAUCAAACCCCGUGAUAGCUGGUUCUCCCCGAAAUGCAUUUAGGUGCAGCGUUGCGUGUUCCUUGCCGGAGGUAGAGCUACUGGAUGGCCGAUGGGCCCGACCAGGUUACUGACGUCAGCCAAACUCCGAAUGCCGGCAAGACCAGCGCAGCAGUGAGACCGCGGGGGAUAAGCUCCGUGGUCGAGAGGGAAACAGCCCAGACCGCCGGCUAAGGCCCCCAAGCGUGUGCUAAGUGGGAAAGGAUGUGGAGUCGCAGAGACAACCAGGAGGUUGGCUUAGAAGCAGCCACCCUUGAAAGAGUGCGUAAUAGCUCACUGGUCAAGUGAUUCCGCGCCGACAAUGUAGCGGGGCUCAAGCACACCGCCGAAGCCGCGGCAGUCCCAUGCGUCCCUAGCCUUCGUGGUUCAGGGGUGGGGCUGGGUAGGGGAGCGUCGUGCGGGCGUCUGAAGCCGCCGGGUGACCGAGCGGUGGAGCCCGCACGAGUGAGAAUGCAGGCAUGAGUAGCGAAAGACGGGUGGGAAACCCGUCCGCCGGAUGAUCAAGGGUUCCAGGGUCAAGCUAAUCUGCCCUGGGUGAGUCGGGACCUAAGGCGAGGCCGACAGGCGUAGUCGAUGGACAACGGGCCGAUAUUCCCGUACCGGCGAAGGACCGCCAGUGCCGGAGGGCCGAUGCUAACCGACGGAUCCCCGUCGCCCUUCCCGCCCUUCGGGGCGGGGGGUGCGGGGUGAGCGCGGGAACCGAGGCCCCGAGGCAAGCGCAUUAACAGGUGUGACGCAGGAAGGCAGCCCGGCCAGGCGAUGGUUGACCUGGUCCAAGGAUGUAGGGCGGACGGUAGGGAAAUCCGCCGUCCAUGUGCCUGAGGUCCGACGGGACCCCCGCGAGGGGGGAUCGGGUGAUCCUAUGCUGCCGAGAAAAGCAUCGGCGCGAGGUCCUAGCCGCCCGUACCCCAAACCGACACAGGUGAUCAGGUAGAGGAUACCGAGGCGAUCGAGAGAAUCGCGGUCAAGGAACUCGGCAAAAUGCCCCCGUAACUUCGGGAGAAGGGGGACCCCGACCCUGGAGGCCACGCGCUGGCCCGAGGGGGGAGGGGUCGCAGAGACCAGGGGGAAGCGACUGUUUACUAAAAACACAGGUCCGUGCGAAGUCGCAAGACGAUGUAUACGGACUGACUCCUGCCCGGUGCUGGAAGGUCAAGAGGACCCGUCAGCCCCCUCCGUGGGGUGAAGCGGAGAAUUCAAGCCCCAGUAAACGGCGGUGGUAACUAUAACCAUCCUAAGGUAGCGAAAUUCCUUGUCGGGUAAGUUCCGACCUGCACGAAUGGAGUAACGACUUCCCCGCUGUCUCGACCGCGAGCUCGGCGAAAUUGCACUACGAGUAAAGAUGCUCGUUACGCGCAGCAGGACGGAAAGACCCCGAGACCUUCACUACAGUUUGGUAUUGGUGUCCGGAGCGGCUUGUGUAGGAUAGGUGGGAGACUGCGAAGCGGGCACGCCAGUGCCGGUGGAGUCGCCGUUGAAAUACCACUCUGGUCGCUUUGGGCAUCUCAACCUCGGCCCGUGAUCCGGGCCAGGGACAGUGCCUGACGGGUAGUUUAACUGGGGCGGUUGCCUCCCAAAGGGUAACGGAGGCGCCCAAAGGUCCCCUCAGCCUGGUCGGCAACCAGGUGGCGAGUGCAAGUGCACAAGGGGGCUUGACUGUGAGAGAGGCAUCUCGAGCAGGGACGAAAGUCGGGACUAGUGAUCCGGCGGCACCUCGUGGAAGGGCCGUCGCUCAACGGAUAAAAGGUACCUCGGGGAUAACAGGCUGAUCUUGCCCAAGAGUCCAUAUCGACGGCAUGGUUUGGCACCUCGAUGUCGGCUCGUCGCAUCCUGGGGCUGGAGUAGGUCCCAAGGGUUGGGCUGUUCGCCCAUUAAAGCGGUACGCGAGCUGGGUUUAGAACGUCGUGAGACAGUUCGGUCCCUAUCCGCUGCGCGCGCAGGAGAUCUGAGAAGGGCUGUCCCCAGUACGAGAGGACCGGGACGGACGAACCUCUGGUGUGGCAGUUGUACCGCCAGGUGCACCGCUGCUUGGCUACGUUCGGAUGGGAUAACCGCUGAAAGCAUCUAAGCGGGAAGCCCGCUUCGAGAUGAGAUCUCCAAGGACAUCUGUCCUGAAGGCCCCCAGCAGACCACUGGGUUGAUAGGCCGGACGUGGAAGCAGGGACCAAAGACCUGCGAAGCCGACCGGUACUAAUAGGCCGACAGCCUCACACAC
rnacentral:rRNA from 1 species